ensembl:lncRNA
GUCUGCAGUUCCUGGUUCAGUACAGCGUUACUAGGGCCGGGCCCUCGUCUCCAGGCUGGGGCUUCCUGUGUUUGCUGUGUGAGAGGAAGUUGUCAGACGGACUCAGCAUCGCUCACAUACACAGCUAUGAACACAUCACCACGUUCCUGGAGCGUGCCCAUCCAGGCUCUGUGAAAGAGGUAGAGGAGUCUGAUGAGAGGAGGAGCGAAAUACUGCUGGACCUGGCACAACAGGCUGAGAAAAUACAUGCCAUGGGGCGUCUACAGGUAUCACACACACACACUCCACCAGACGUGUCCAGGUAAAACACUCCAAACCACCACAAAAAACCUGCAGUUAUACCCUGUAGUGAUGCAUUGUCCUCAUCCCUCUUCCCUCACUCUCUCAUUCUCCCUCUAUCCCUUUAUAAGUUCAUGAUGUUGCAACGCUACAUCGGGGAGUCAGUCAUCUACGAGAGAGGUCAGUGUGUGUGUGUGUGUGUGUGUGUGUGUGUGUGUGUGUGUGUGUGUGUGUGUGUGUGUGUGUAUACAUUUGUUUCGUCACCUUUGUUUGUGUGAGUGAUUAACUCUGUAUUCUGUAGCCUUAGUGAUCUUGAAGGCGAUCAAGAAGAGAGGGAACAUGGGAGAACUGAUGCCCCUGCUACCACCUGGCAAGAAACUGGGUGAGUUAGAGGGGAGGGAGAGGUUGGUGGGAAGGGAGGAAGAGGGUAACACAUCAACUAGACAUCUAACAUUGGAGGUAGUGAUGAAGGUGGAUAUGAUGUUGCUGUUUCUUAGUUCCCUCCAGUUCGAUCAGAGACCAGAGCCAGGCUACCCUAGAACCUGCCCCUACAUCUGUAGGAGAGGAGAAACAGACCAGGAAAGAGACUGACAAAGACAAUGAGACCGAGAUGGACAGAGAGGCCACCCCAGAAACCAUUCAAAUGAUCCAGGAGACUGGGGUGGAAGUGGACAAACGCAUUGGCAAAGAAACCUGCAGUGACCCCAGUACAAACACUGGCAGAGAGACUAAGAGAAAGACCAGUAAAGGCACUGGCGUAGAGACCAGUAAAGGCACUGGCGUAGAGACCAGUAAAGGCACUGGCGGAGAGACCAGUAAAGGCACUGGCGGAGAGACCAGUAAAGGCACUGGCGGAGAGACCAGUAAAGGCACUGGCGGAGUCACAAUAAUAAAAGCUAGUCAGGAAACCAGAAAGGACAGCAGGAGCAGAGGGAAAGAUAAGGAGGCAGAAAAGAUAAUCAAGGAGAAAGAGAUGGAGACUGACAAAAAAGAGACCAGUACAGAGACUGUCAAAAAGUUAGGGAGUAAGACUAGAAACAUGACAGUCCAUGAGACCAGUAAAGGCACUGGCGGAGAGACCAGUAAAGGCACUGGCGGAGAGACCAGUAAAGGCACUGGCGGAGAGACCAGUAAAGGCACUGGCGGAGAGACCAGUAAAGGCACUGGCGGAGAGACCAGUAAAGGCACUGGCGGAGAAACCAGUAAAGGCACUGGCGGAGUCACAAUAACAAAAGCUAGUCAGGAAACCAGAAAGGACAGCAGGAGCAGAGGGAAAGAUAAGGAGGCAGAAAAGAUAAUCAAGGAGAAAGAGAUGGAGACUGACAAAAAAGACACCAGUACAGAGACUGUCAAAAAGUUAGGGAGUAAGACUAGAAACAUGACAGUCCAUGAGACCAGCAAAGACACUGGGAAAACGACCAGUACAGAGAAUGUUAAGGAGAAUGAGAGAGAGACUAGCACAGACAUGGAGAGACAGACCUGUAGAGCUGUUAGUAUAGUGGCCAGUAGAGCCAGCAAUAGAGAGACCAAAAGAAAGCAUGGUAAAAAGCCUGAGACUUGUAAAACACCUGAAAAGAAGACCAAUACUCAGACUGUGAAAGAAAAAACUAAAGUGACUCCUCCCCCCAUCUCCCCUCCAACCAGUAAUCUGUGGGAUUUCGUGAAGAGGCAGAAUCGAGAAGCUGUGAUUGGUCUGAGUGCACUCAUCGAGUGCCACAGUCACGGCCAGCCCCACCUCUAUCUCUGCCAGGUGUGUGGGUGUAAAGUCUUCCAGAACGGCAUCAUCGUCCAUGUAACCACAGACUGCCACCGACUUUCCUACCUGAGGUCGCUGAAGACAGUGAUUGUCCCCAAAGGGAACCAGCUCCAUAAGAAGUUGCGGAGAGCUGCCUUGAAGCUGGAGAAGACCAUGGGAUAUGGAGAGGCUGAGGUGUGUGUGCUUGCGUGCGGGGGGGAUGACGGAAUAUACAGUGCAUUGGGAAAGUAUUCAGACCACUUUUUCCACAUUUUGCCUUAUUCUAAAAUUGAUUUUAAUGAUGAUGGAUUUUAAUAAUGACAAAGCAAAAACGGUUAUCUUUGGAAAAUUUUGCAAAUGUAUAACAGAAAAAAAACAGAUACCUUAUUUACGUAAAUAUUCAGACCCUAUGCUAUGAGACUCGAAAUUGAGCAUAGGUGCAUCCUGUUUCCAUUGAUCAUCCUUG